GACGAACGCUGGCGGCGUGCUUAACACAUGCAAGUCGAACGAGAGCGUAGAGAAAGCUUGCUUUUUCCACAAGCUAGUGGCAAACGGGUGAGUAACGCGUAAACAACCUGCCCUACGGAUGGGGACAACAGCUGGAAACGGCUGCUAAUACCGAAUACGUUCCGCACGUCGCAUGACUAUCGGAAGAAAGGAUGGCCUCUAUUUAUAAGCUAUCGCCGGCGGAGGGGCUUGCGUCUGAUUAGCUAGCUGGGGGGGGCACGGCCCACCAACGCGGCGAACAGGAGGCCGUCUGAGAGGAUGGACGGCCACAUUGGGACUGGGACACGGGCCAGACCUCUACGGGAGGGAGCAGUGGGGAAUCUUCCGCAAUGGGCGAAAGCCUGACGGAGCAACGCCGCGUGAGUGAAGACGGCCUUCGGGUUGUAAAGCUCUGUUAUACGGGACGAAUAAUCUUGUGGUUAAUCCCCAUGAGUAUUGACGGUACCGUAAGAGAAAGCCACGGCUAACUACGUG
rnacentral:rRNA from 1 species